rnacentral:rRNA from 1 species
ACUACGGGAUGCUGCAGUGAGGAAUAUUGGUCAAUGGGCGCGAGCCUGAACCAGCCAAGUAGCGUGAAGGAUGACUGCCCUACGGGUUGUAAACUUCUUUUAUAAAGGAAUAAAGUGAGGCACGUGUGCCUUUUUGUAUGUACUUUAUGAAUAAGGAUCGGCUAACUCCGUGCCAGCAGCCGCGGUAAUACGGAGGAUCCGAGCGUUAUCCGGAUUUAUUGGGGUUAAAGGGAGCGUAGAUGGGUUGUUAAGUCAGUUGUGAAAGUUUGCGGCGCAACCGUAAAAUUGCAAUUGAUACUGGCAGUCUUGAGUACAGUUGAGGUAGGCGGAAUUCGUGGUGUAGCGGUGAAAUGCUUAGAUAUCACGAAGAACUCCGAUUGCGAAGGCAGCUUACUAAACUGCCACUGACAUUGAUGCUCGAAAGUGUGGGUAUCAAACAGGAUUAGAUACCCGGGUAGUC